rnacentral:rRNA from 1 species
CACGUAGGGUGCGAGCGUUGUCCGGAAUUAUUGGGCGUAAAGAGCUCGUAGGCGGUGUGUCGCGUCGGCCGUGAAAACCUGCAGCUUAACUGUGGGCUUGCGGUCGAUACGGGCAUCACUGGAGUUCGGCAGGGGAGACUGGAAUUCCUGGUGUAGCGGUGAAAUGCGCAGAUAUCAGGAGGAACACCGGUGGCGAAGGCGGGUCUCUGGGCCGAUACUGACGCUGAGGCGCGAAAGCGUGGGGAGCAAACAGG